CACGCCGUAAACGAUGAUCACUAGAUGUUGGCGAUAUAAUGUCAGCGUUCAAGAGAAAUCGAUAAGUGAUCCACCUGGGGAGUACGUUCGCAAGAAUGAAACUCAAAGGAAUUGACGGGGGCCCGCACAAGCGGAGGAGCAUGUGGUUUAAUUCGAUGAUACGCGAGGAACCUUACCAAGGCUUAAAUGUAAUAUGACCGGUUGAGAGAUCAACCUUUUUUCGAACAGAUUACAAGGUGC
rnacentral:rRNA from 1 species